UCGUGGAGCUCCGGCUCUUUCGAGAGAACCCUUGCCUUUUCGAGCACCUGUUUGUUUCCUCGGCAGGCCCGCCUGCCAAUGGGGACCCCUUAAAACUCUUGCAAUAACUUGAACAAUGUCUGAACAAAACAAAUAAAUCA
rnacentral:misc_RNA from 1 species